rnacentral:rRNA from 1 species
UUCUGGCUCAGGAUGAACGCUAGCGACAGGCUUAACACAUGCAAGUCGAGGGGCAGCAUAGAAGUAGCAAUACUUGGUGGCGACCGGCGCACGGGUGAGUAACGCGUAUGCAACCUACCUAUCAGAGGGGAAUAACCCGGCGAAAGUCGGACUAAUACCGCAUAAAACAGGGGCACCGCAUGGUGAUAUUUGUUAAAGAAAUUCGCUGAUAGAUGGGCAUGCGUUCCAUUAGGUAGUUGGUGAGGUAACGGCUCACCAAGCCGACGAUGGAUAGGGGAACUGAGAGGUUGGUCCCCCACACUGGUACUGAGACACGGACCAGACUCCUACGGGAGGCAGCAGUGAGGAAUAUUGGUCAAUGGGCGGGAGCCUGAACCAGCCAAGUCGCGUGAAGGAAGAAGGAUCUAUGGUUCGUAAACUUCUUUUGCAGGGGAAUAAAGUGCAGGACGUGUCCUGUUUUGUAUGUACCCUGAGAAUAAGGAUCGGCUAACUCCGUGCCAGCCGCCGC